UGCAGUCGCACGGGACUAUUUGAGCAGCAAUACAAGAAUAGUUUAGCGUCGCACGGGUGAGUAACACGUGAAUUACAUGCCCUGCAGAGGGGGAUAGCCCAGGGAAACUUGGAUUAAUACCCCAUGGUAUCGCAAGAUUAAAGGUGGCCGCAAGGCUGUCGCUGCAGGAUUGGUUCGCGCCCUAUCAGCUUGUUGGUGAGGUAACGGCUCACCAAGGCUACGACGGGUACCUGGUCUGAGAGGACGAUCAGGCACACUGGAACUGAGACACGGUCCAGACACCUACGGGUGGCAGCAGUCGAGAAUAAUUCACAAUGGGGGCAACCCUGAUGGUGCAACGCCGCGUGGAGGAUGAAGGUCUUCGGAUUGUAAACUCCUGUCAUCCGGGAGUAAGACCUGGCGAUGAAUAGUCGACAGGGUUGAUAGUACCGGAAGAGGAAGGGACGGCUAACUUCGUGCCAGCAGCCGCGGUAAUAC
rnacentral:rRNA from 1 species